rnacentral:lncRNA from 1 species
AUACCUCUCGUCUCCACAAAGUUCAAAGCUGAAGGUGUAGACCUCUUGGUUGAGAAAUGGUGCAGAGUCAAAAUCAGGACCGGUACAUUUAUUUCCUAUGCUGCUCAAGUUCAGAUCCCGAGGAAAUGAAGAACUUGGGAACUGAAGUUCGAGGUGUGCACUUGUUGAGAUGAAGGUUGUCUAGCAUUCGAAAAGUUAGGAGACGGAACGUUGGGUUGUCCAUAUUUUCAUUAUACAAGAGUUGGCUAAAAUUAGUAUUUGUUAGUAGGUAAGACCUGUAGUGACUAUACUUGAUUUGGGAAUGAUUAUUUUUCUCUUUAAAGUCAUUUCUUUUUCAUUUUUUUGAGGGGUAAUUUUAGGUUAUAUUUUAAUCUUAGAGAUAGGAACAAAAACGAAG